CCCAAACAUUGAGAAUUAUGCCAGCGAUAACUCUGCAAUUUUCGGAUAAUUUGACUUCACGUUUGUCAGAAUUGACAGGUGAUGGAAAGAGUUUUGUGGGUUGUGGAAUCUGAGGGAAUCAUAGUUCGUGGUUUUUGUUCCUGUAUGAUAACAAUAAUAAUGUUGGACGAACAAUCAGCACGUUAAUUAUUAUUAAUUACAUUUUUUAUUAAUACUGGAUAUUCAUUGUUAUUUGCAUUAUAUUGUUUGAAUUUGUCCAUAUCCAAUUUUUAAUAAAAUGACAGAACAAAUUUUUGAAGAAUGGGAUGAGUUGAAUUCAGAUUUCAAACAGCUAGAGUUCGAUAACAAAGCAUAUCUUCAGCAAUUAGAACAGUUGCAUGGUAUCCAAAAAAAAUGUGUUGAUCACAUAGCUCAUCAACGAUAUAGACUUUCUAUCAUAUCUAAAACAAUCAAA